CUUAAAUUGAAGAGUUUGAUCAUGGCUCAGAUUGAACGCUGGCGGCAGGCCUAACACAUGCAAGUCGAGCGGCAGCGGGAAGUAGUUUACUACUUUGCCGGCGAGCGGCGGACGGG
rnacentral:rRNA from 2 species